rnacentral:sRNA from 1 species
AAAUUUUAACAAUUUCAAUCUAAUAAGAAUCAAUAUCGGAUCGUUUCGAAGAUUUUAUAUCGAAUUCUUUGAACAAAAAAUAACACAAUUUCUUGUUAAAUAUUUUGUAUCUUUUAAAUUAAUGUAUUUCCUAUUUGUAUAUUUUAUAUUCAAUAUAUUUGGUUUUGAUAUAAAUUAGAAAAUCCGUUUAAAUAAUUAUUAAAAUUUGAAUCCCGAAGAUAUUUAUGUGAUUUUUUAUAAUUUAAAGAUUGUUGUUGAGAUUUUUUAGUGUCUAUUUUUUGUUGCAUUUAUUUGUUUGCAAGGUCUAUCAUAAUUAAGGUGAAGUUACAAAAAGAUCUGUAAAGUAUAAUAUCGUUCACAUAUUGAUUAUAGAAUUAUUUAGAUUAUUUUUAAAAAGGAAAAAAUUACAACAUAUGCCAUAUUUUUUCCAAUCCUUAUGCAAUCUGCCAUAAUUUGCUGGGCCUUACAACUCAUGUCAUAUUUCAUACUGAAAUAUCGAUUUUGUCCCUCUCCAUUUCUUCUCUAUUUUAUCUCUCCUUCCUUGAAAUCUGUGCGCUUUAACCAUAUAUUAUUAUCUUCCCGAAGAUGAAGCGCUUUUGUCACUCUCUCACUUUCUUUGACAACCUGCACAGAUUCUUUACAUGUAACUUUCAAUUAAAUUUGUCUCUCAAUUUUAUUCAUCACAAUAUUUCUGUUGUAUCUAGAUCUUGUCCUUGAUUUCAUCAUUUUUUACCAUCUAUUUUGGUCCACAGAUUAGUUGAGCAUUAUUGUUUUCACCGACACGAUUUUUUUUUCUUCUAUUGUAAAACAACAAAAAUAUUCAGUUAUUACAUAUUAUCUUGUCUAUCAUUCGAUCUGACUUUGUCCCCGAUCCAAUUCUAUUACUCAUUCGAUAUGAACUUGUCCCGAUAUAACAUAUUAUUAAAAUAUGUUAACGUGUAGGUGAAGACAAUAACGCUCAACUAAUCUGUGGAUCAAAAUAGAUCGCAAAAAUUUAAAUAAAAUUCAAAAU